GAACAUGAUAUGGCUCUAAUGACUGGAGGAACACCAGUGUCCUUUACCUUGAGCCAAUUCAGCAUUACAAAGAGAUUACUUAAGUGAGCGAAAACCAGACCAUACAUUUCUUGCAAUUUCCAUAAAUCCACUGUGGAACUUCAAAAGCAAUAUUUAAAAAGUUAAGCAACAAGACAAGGUGUACUUAGAAAUAAAAAUAAUGGAUAUUUUCUCAAAGAA